rnacentral:rRNA from 1 species
UUUACCAAAAACAUAGCUAGCUGCUACUACUACGGUAUAGGUAUAGCUAGUGAAACCUGCUCACUGAUAUAGAAUAAGCAUAGCAAUUAAUAUUGAAGAGCCGCGGUAACUCUGACCGUGCUAAGGUAGCAUAAUCAAUCGCCUCUUAAUUGGAGGCUAGAAUGAAAGGAAUAACGAGUCCCUCUCUGUCUCAAGUGCAGGCAAGUCGAAAUUUAGUACCUCGUUAAGACGCGAGGAAACCCUGGUUAGACGAGAAGACCCCGUCGAGCUUUACUUUAAUUUAUCGAAUACAGGGUUCCUUGGAAAGGAACUAACUUCGGAUAAUGAAAUAGUUUAGUUGGGGUGACUGCCCAAAAUUUAUAAACUUGGGUGAACAACGGUUUCUUAUAAAAUAGUAAUCUUUACUGAAGGGGGGACACCCUUUUCAGUUACAAAGUAGUGUAGGUUUUAAAAACCCGUUCUCUAUAGGGGAACGAUAUCGUAUAAAAGCUACCGCGGGGAUAACAGGGUUAUUUAGUCUUAGAGCUCCUAUCGAAGGCUGAGUUUGCCACCUCGAUGUUGAAUAGCAGUUUCCUAGGGGUGCAGAAGCUCCUAAGGGUUGGUCUGUUCGACCAUUAAAACCUUA